rnacentral:miRNA from 11 species
CGGGAUUUAGUGGAUCAGCUGUU